UCCGGUUUGUCACCGGCAGUCAAUCUAGAGUGCCCACCUUGACGUGCUGGCAACUAGAUCCAAGGGUUGCGCUCGUUGCGGGACUUAACCCAACAUCUCACGACACGAGCUGACGACAACCAUGCACCACCUGUCUCCUCUGUCCCCGAAAGGUCUACGCUAUCUCUACCGUAUCCAGAGGGAUGUCAAGACCUGGUAAGGUUCUUCGCGUUGCUUCGAAUUAAACCACAUACUCCACUGCUUGUGCGGGUCCCCGUCAAUUCCUUUGAGUUUCAGUCUUGCGACCGUACUCCCCAGGCGGUAUGCUUACUGUGUUAACUUCGGCACCAAGGGUAUCGAAACCCCUAACACCUAGCAUACAUCGUUUACGGCGUGGACUAC
rnacentral:misc_RNA from 1 species